rnacentral:lncRNA from 1 species
CUCAUUUUUCUACUGCUCGUGAUGUUCAGCCCACAAGAGCUUACUGGUGAAGGAAUGGGACAAGACCCAUCUUUAUGCAAAGCCAGCGUUACAGUAAUGUUCCAGCAUCUCAUAAUCUAUCCUGGGGAAUUCAGCUGCCUCCCAGGGUGAAUACAGGUAUUCCUGAUGACAGUCUGCCUCUAUCUUACAGUACUACUAACCAAUAACCUGCUUGGCUCAAAGGGCCAGCACCUUCUCUCUAAAGCCCAAGAGGAGUUUGAGGAAAACUAGGUGUCUGUGUUCACUCCAGGCUGAAGUUACAGGUCUGAGCAAAUAAGGUGUAUAAAAAAUGGAAUCUGUCUUGGAGGACAUCAGAAGGUGAAUUUUCCAAGUUCUUGGACAACCUAGCUGUUGAAAAGCUUUCUGGGUUUGGGGGGUAUUUCAGAUGUACCUUAAAGUGUUAGCAGACACAGAUUAAGACACUGGGAGCCAAUGAAACAGCAGUUGAGGGUUUGCUGUGUAUCACAUUUCUGUAUUUUAUCACCCCCUUCCUGCAACAUUAUUUAUCUGGAAUCUACCUGCCCUUUUGUUUUUUAGAUACAAGGGCUUGGUUUUGUUACCCAGGCUGGUUUCAAGGCCAUAGCUUUAAGAGAUCCUCUCACCACAGAUUUCCAAAGUGCUGGGAUUGCAGGUGUGAUUCAUGGCACCCAGACUUUGCUGCCUUUCUUACAUGAUCCAGGCCCAGAACCCAAACUCAGGCACUGUAUAGAUGACCACUUUCGUAAACUACUGACCUAGCUUGUUGCCAAUUGUUGAUUGAACUUCCCAUAACUCCACUUCGUGUCUGUUCCUCUGUAUACAGCCACCUUCUGUUCCCGUCAUGAGCCUUUAGGUCUCCAUUUGCAUAUUGCAAAUACUAUGUUCCAUGUAGGUAGCUCAUUCAGGGCCUUGCUCUUCACUUCAAAAAAGGUUCCCUUGAGGACUGGCUGUCAAUUUGUGUUGCUGUGUUGGUUGUUGAUGAAAAUAAUAAAAUGAUUGAUUACAUAGUCCUGUUUAAAAAAAAAAAAA